rnacentral:misc_RNA from 1 species
UCUCCGUUGGUGAACCAGCGGAGGGAUCAUUACCGAGUGCAAACUCAUAACCCUUUGUGAACCUAUAUCUGUUGCUUCGGCGGCUCGCUCUCGGGCGAGCCCGCCGGUAAUAUCAGUAUCUCUGUUUGAACCCGACGAUACUUCUGAGUGUUCUUAGCGAACAGUUAAAACUUUUAACAACGGAUCUCUUGGCUCUAGCAUCAAUGAAGAACGCAGC